GAUUAACGCUGGCGGCGUGCAUAACACAUUCAAGUCGAACGGAGACAAAACCUUCGGGUUUUGUUUUAGUGGCGGACGGGUGAGUAACGCGUGAGCAAUCUGCCCUUUACUGCGGAAUAACAGAGAGAAAUUUCUGCUAAUACGGCAUGCACCGUAGAGGCCGCAUGGUCAUAUACGGGAAAGAUUUAUCGGUAGAGGAUGAGCUCGCGUCCGAUUAGAUAGUUGGUGACGGUAACGGCGCACCAAGUCAACGAUCGGUAGCCGGACUGAGAGGUUGGACGGCCACAUUGGGACUGAGACACGGCCCAGACUCCUACGGGAGGCAGCAGUGGGGAAUAUUGGACAAUGGGGGAAACCCUGAUCCAGCGACGCCGCGUGAAGGAAGAAUGCCCUCGGGUUGUAAACUUCAGUAGGCAGGGACGAAGUAAGUGACGGUACCUGCAGAGUAAGCCACGGCUAACUACGUG
rnacentral:rRNA from 1 species